UCAGUAUAAGAAAACCUCUACCUGCAAAUUAAUGCUCUGUUAACAGCUCUAUAUAUACAUACACACAAAACAUGUAAAGUGUUGAAAUAAAAGAACCCAGAAAUGUUCCAUAUGCAGAAAAAGCUUACUUCUGUCAAAUGUUGUGCACAAAUGUGUUUACAUCCCUGUUAGUGAGCAUUUCUCCUUUGCCAAGAUAAUCCAUCCAGCUGACAGGUGUGGCAUAUCAAGAAGCUGAUUAAACAGCAUUACCAAUUACAUAGGUGCACCUUGUGCUGGGGACACUCUAAAAUGUGCAGUUUUGUAACACAACUCUAUGCCACAGAUUGAGGGAACAGGCAAUUGGCAUGCUGACUGCAGGAAUGUCCACCAGAGCUGUUAACAGAGCAUUAAUUUGUCUACCAUAAGCCAAAAAAAAUGAGAAUUUGGCAAAACAUCCAACCGGUAUCGCAACCGCAGACCACGUGUAAACCAUGUCAGCCCAGGACCACAUCCGGCUUCUUCACCUGUGGGAUCGUCUGAGACCAGCCACCCAGAAAGCUGAUGAUACUGAGGAGUAUUCCUGUCUGUAAUAAAGCCUUUUUUUUGUAGAUAAAAACUCAUUCUGAUUGGCUGGGCCUGGCUCUGAAGUGGGUGGGCCUAUGCCCUCCCAGGCCCACCAAUGGCUGUGCCCCUGCCUAUCAUGUGAAAUCCAUAAAUUAGGGCCUACUGAAUUCAUUUCAUUUGACUUGACUUCCUUAUAUCAACUGUGUAACUCCAUAAGAUCACUGUCCAUUCAUUUUAGAUCAGUGAACACUGCUUAGGUAGGCAUUAGGGGAACUAGACUUGGGGUCGAAAUGGAAUUGGGUCACUAUUAUAUGUCACAUGAGGGAGUGCAUGGUUUUCUCUGCACAAGUAUUCCCUGUCUUUAUUUUACAGAAUCUCAGCACCAAAUUGCAUGUAUCGUCUUCCUCUUCACUGUGUGUUUAUGGAUAGGGGAAAACAUGUGGGCUCUAAAUAAGGUUUACAUAAUACAUCCAUAAGCACUCUGUAAUACCUCUAGAAAACCUUUCAUAGACUUUUAUGUCCACAACAACACUGUGUCUGCUGACUGGCUUGGAUUUGUGCCAGCCAACUUGCUUACUUAAAUAAUUCUUCAGAGCUGGCAAAACUGGUUACAAUUACAUUUCACCCAAUUUUGCCCUGUUGGUUUUGUCAUAAGGCAUUUACAAAAAGUUUGAUCACACUUAAUCAUUACGCCCACAUUUGUAAAUGUCAGUAACCUAGUUAUUCACACAUUUAUAAACUUUUAUAUUUUAACUGAUGUAUUAAUGAUUCAUAAGAUAAUAAGAUGUUUAAUAUACGUCCUUUAUAAACCAUUUAGUAAUCAUUAGUUUGUCCCUAAUCUAAAGUGAGGGUUUAGCGUUAGUGUUACCAGCACUCAUAAUGCCUUUUAUGAGGCCUACCUCCAGAGUUGGUCAGGAAUAUCGGAUAGUCUACACCUGAAAACAUGUUGGGCACAAUUGGAACGUGGACAAGAUUAGGACAAAGGACGCCUAUUAGUAUCAGGUGUAAACGGGGAUUCUGAUUUCUCUGUCCCAGCUGUCCAGCGUGUGUUUUUAUACUUUCCAAGGGCAGCGCUUUUUACAAACUGGUUUAUUUUAUUAUGCAAUGUAAGAAGGGCAAAGUAAUAAACCAUAUUUUAUGAGCCCUU
ensembl:lncRNA